UACAGAGGGUGCAAGCGUUAAUCGGAAUUACUGGGCGUAAAGCGUGCGUAGACGGUUAUUUAAGUCAGGUGUGAAAGCCCCGGGCUCAACCUGGGAAUUGCAUUUGAGACUGAAUAGCUAGGGUGCGGAAGAGGGAAGCGGAAUUUCCGGUGUAGCGGUGAAAUGCGUAGAUAUCGGAAGGAACACCAGUGGCGCAAGCGGCUUCCUGGUCCAGCACCGACGUUCAGGCACGAAAGCGUGGGGAGCAAACAGG
rnacentral:rRNA from 1 species